AUCCGGCCGAGUUGUAAUUUGCAGAGGAUGUUAUGAAAUUUGUAUGGAAUCAAAUUCUUUGGAAAAAGAUGCCAUGGAGAGUGAAAGUCUCGUCCUUUCCAAUACAUUUUUCAUGUAUAACUCCUUCAAAGAGUCGAGUUGUUUGGGAAUGCAGCUCAAAGUGGGACGUAAAUUUGUUCCAAAGCUAAAUACCGGCUAGAGACCGAUAGCGCACAAGUAGAGUGAUCGAAAGAUGAAAAGCACUUUGAAAAGAGAGUUAAAAAGCACGUGAAAUUGUUGAAAGGGAAGCUUAUGUCAUCAGAAAUGACGUCAAUGUUCAGCCUUUUUGGUCAACUCAUUGAUUGUCAAGUUAGCAUCAAUUUGAGUAACUGGAUAAAAAUGUCGAAAAUGUAGCUUCCUCGGAAGUGUUAUAGUUCGAUAUAGAAUGCAGCUCACUCAGAUUGAGGUCCGCU
rnacentral:rRNA from 1 species